UUUCUUGGAGAGUUUGAUCCUGGCUCAGGACGAACGCUGGCGGCGUGCCUAAUACAUGCAAGUCGAGCGAAUCGAUAGGAGCUUGCUCCUGUUGGUUAGCGGCGGACGGGUGAGUAACACGUGGGCAACC
rnacentral:rRNA from 1 species